rnacentral:rRNA from 1 species
UACGUAGGGGGCAAGCGUUGUCCGGAUUUAUUGGGCGUAAAGAGCGUGUAGGCGGCCAUGUAGGUCCGUUGUGAAAACUCGAGGCUCAACCUCGAGACGCCGAUGGAAACCAUGUGGCUAGAGUCCGGAAGAGGAGAGUGGAAUUCCCGGUGUAGCGGUGAAAUGCGCAGAUAUCGGGAGGAACACCAAUGGCGAAGGCAGCUCGCUGGGACGUGACUGACGCUGAGACGCGAAAGCGUGGGGAGCAAACAGG